ACUCCUACGGGAGGCAGCAGUGGGGAAUAUUGGACAAUGGGCGAAAGCCUGAUCCAGCCAUGCCGCGUGUGUGAAGAAGGUCUUCGGAUUGUAAAGCACUUUAAGUUGGGAGGAAGGGCAGUUGCCUAAUACGUAACUGUUUUGACGUUACCGACAGAAUAAGCACCGGCUAACUCUGUGCCAGCAGCCGCGGUAAUACAGAGGGUGCAAGCGUUAAUCUGAAUUACUGGGCGUAAAGCGCGCGUAGGUGGUUUGUUAAGUUGGAUGUGAAAUCCCCGGGCUCAACCUGGGAACUGCAUUCAAAACUGACUGACUAGAGUAUGGUAGAGGGUGGUGGAAUUUCCUGUGUAGCGGUGAAAUGCGUAGAUAUAGGAAGGUACACCAGUGGCGAAGGCGACCACCUGGACUGAUACUGACACUGACGUGCGAAAGCGUGGGGAGCAAACAGGAUUAGAUACCCUGGUAGUCCACGCCGUAAACGAUGUCAACUAGCCGUUGGAAGCCUUGAGCUUUUAGUGGCGCAGCUAACGCAUUAAGUUGACCGCCUGGGGAGUACGGCCGCAAGGUUAAAACUCAAAGGAAUUGACGG
rnacentral:rRNA from 1 species